GCAGGUACAGAGGGAUGCUACCGGGCGACCGGAUGCGGAUCUCGAAAGCCUGUCCCAGUUCGGACUGGAGUCUGCAACCCGACUCCACGAAGUUGGAUUCGCUAGUAAUCGCGCAUCAGCCAUGGCGCGGUGAAUACGUUCCCGGGCCUUGUACACACCGCCCGUCAAGCCAUGGGAGCCGGGGGCGCCUGAAGUCCGGGACCGCGAGGACCGGCCUAGGGCGAAACUGGUAACUGGGGCUAAGUCGUAACAAGGUACC
rnacentral:rRNA from 1 species